rnacentral:rRNA from 1 species
CCUACGGGGGGCUGCAGUCGAGAAUCUUCGGCAAUGGGCGCAAGCCUGACCGAGCGACGCCACGUGCGGGAUGACGGCCCUCGGGUUGUAAACCGCUGUCGGGGGGGAUGAAGUCGCGGGAGGCAAUCCUCUCGCGUUGACAGAGCCCCGGAGGAAGCGCGGGCUAAGUACGUGCCAGCAGCCGCGGUAAGACGUACUGCGCGAACGUUAUUCGGAAUCACUGGGCUUAAAGGGUGCGCAGGCGGCUCUCCAAGCCCGAAGUGAAAGGUCCCGGC